UACAGAGGUCCCAAGCGUUGUUCGGAUUCACUGGGCGUAAAGGGUGCGCAGGUGGUCGGGUAAGUCUGACGUGAAAUCCCGCAGCUUAACUGCGGAAUGGCAUUGGAUACUAUUCGGCUAGAGGGUUGGAAGGGGGACUGGAAUUCUCGGUGUAGCAGUGAAAUGCGUAGAUAUCGAGAGGAACACCAGUGGCGAAGGCGAGUCCCUGGACAACUCCUGACGCUGAGGCACGAAAGCUAGGGGAGCAAACGGG
rnacentral:rRNA from 1 species